AUGAAUGUAUUUUCAGACGGGGAUUCUGCUAGUGUGGAAAAGAAAGAUUCUGAUGAUGCACCUGAUGAUGCAAAUAAAACCUCUACAGAAGACACAGAUGAUUCAUCUGACAAGGAUUCUUCAGACACAGAUGAGCAGCAGGACUCUGAUGAUUCUGCAGAUUCUGACAAAGACAAAACAGAUGGAAACUUAGAUGAAAAGAGUGGCGAGAAAAAGGAGAAAGACACCAGUAAUGACUCCAGUAAAGACUCAGAAGACGAGGGUCGAGAAAGCUCUGAGACGCCAGACAAAAGCGACACAGACAGCGACUCAGACACUGAUGAGGUGAAAGUUUCAGACGACUCCAAAAACCAGGAUUCAGAAUCGAAAGACACUGACAGCACAGAGAAGAAAGAGAAAGACCAGGACUCUGACAGCGACGCAGACACCAGCAGCGUUCAAGACACGACAGAUUUCCCUGAGGACAGCGCCGAGGAUAAAGACAAGGACAGCAGGGACCCGAAAGACAAUGAAGAUGAUGGAGACAGGGAGAAGGAUGCCAAUGAGAAGGAGGAGACCAAUGAGACUGGCAGCGACAGCAUUGAGGAAAAAGAUAAAGAGGACGAAUCCAAACCAGACGAACAGGACAAGGAAGACACCACCUCAAAAGAAGACGCCGCAACCAGUCAGUCUGAUGAAAGUCCACUGGAGGAAAUGACAGAAGACAAGCAGGAAGACAAACCUGAUUCUGACAGCUCCAGUCUGGACUCAAAUUCAGACACGGACUCUGACAGCAAAGAAAAAGAGCAGGACAAAGACAAAGACAAGAACAGCACAGAGUCCACAGACACAGAUAGCUCUGACAGCAGCAGCAAGAGCGACACAGACAGCUUAGAAACAGGAGGGGAAGAUACUGAUGAAGACAAUGACUCCAGCGUGGAAAAGGAGAAACAGGAGACUCCUGAUGGCGCAUCAUUAGAGACAAAUGACUCUGAUUCUGACUCCAGCGAUGACCAUGACAACGACUCAACAGAUGCUACGACAUCAAAUGAACACACUGAUGAAAACACUGAUGCAGACAGCCAUGAUGUUGCAGACGAUGAUGAUGACACUGAUGUCCAUGAUGAUGCAGUUGGGGUUGAAGACGGCACAGACGUCGCUUCUAAAACACACGAUGAACCAGAUCAUCUUGAUGACACAACUCAAGAUUUUUCCUGGAGAGACGUAAAAAGAAUCACCUGAGACAGUCAAGAUAACCAGAGUUUCACAUCCCAUUAAAACACAUUGACACGUCCCUCUCGUCCUUUCUUUCUCUCUCUCUCGUAUGGUGAAGGUUCCUUUCUAAGGGUUCUGGGAUGCAGAUUAAAUUAUUCGGCUGUUUGCUGUACAUUCCUUUUUUUUUUUUUUUACUUUGUCCUAACUCUAAAACUUUUGUAUCUUUUGAUAUAUUAAUUUUACCAAUUUUAGAUGGAAAUGCAUGAUGAACAGAGAGGGUCUGGAAUUGCAUACCUCAUGCAUUUGUCUCAUUGCGUAGGGUCUAAAUAUAUUUCAUUUCAUUAAACCUAGAGAGUAGAACUAACAGAAGGAAUUUUGAGAAAGCGAAACGAUUCGGGUCUGGUGAAAAUGUUGUUCUGUCAAACCUGGGAUGGUUCCAUUGCUUUGUCCACAUGGUGUCCCCAUCCUUGACACUGACUGAAAGACUGCAGCUGCUGCAACGAGAACCUUCCCUCCUGCUCUCAGAUAAAAGCUGGCCUGAAAUGUCACAGAAUGAGAUGUUUUGUACAGACACUUUCUGAUUUCUGAUCUCUAUGUCUCUGCGGAGGAAUACUAAUAAACUAGCAAUGUAAGAGCA
ensembl:lncRNA